rnacentral:rRNA from 1 species
UUGGAGGGCAAGUCUGGUGCCAGCAGCCGCGGUAAUUCCAGCUCCAAUAGCGUAUAUUAAAGUUGUUGCAGUUAAAAAGCUCGUAGUUGAAUUUCGGGAUUGGCGUGUCGGUCGUGCCUUACGGGGUAUGAACUGGCGUCGUCGAUUUCUCACCUUCUGGAGAAUCACGAUGCCCUUAAUUGGGUGUCGUGUGGAACCAGGACCUUUACCUUGAAAAAAUUAGAGUGUUUAAAGCAGGCAUUUUGCUCGAAUACAUUAGCAUGGAAUAAUAAAAUAGGACGGCUUGGUUCUAUUUUGUUGGUUUCUAGGAUCACCGUAAUGAUUAAUAGGGAUAGUUGGGGGCAUUAGUAUUCAAUUGUCAGAGGUGAAAUUCUUGGAUUUAUUGAAGACUAACUACUGCGAAAGCAUUUGCCAAGGAUGUUUUCAUUAAUCAAGAACGAAAGUUAGGGGAUCGAAGACGAUCAGAUACCGUCGUAGUCUUAACCAUAAACUAUGCCGACUAGGAAUCAGACGAUGUUAAUUUUUUAAUGACUCGUUUGGCACCUUACGGGAAAC